rnacentral:rRNA from 1 species
UACGGAGGAUGCGAGCGUUAUCCGGAUUUAUUGGGUUUAAAGGGUGCGUAGGCGGCCUGCCAAGUCAGCGGUAAAAUUGCGGGGCUCAACCCCGUACAGCCGUUGAAACUGCCGGGCUCGAGUGGGCGAGAAGUAUGCGGAAUGCGUGGUGUAGCGGUGAAAUGCAUAGAUAUCACGCAGAACCCCGAUUGCGAAGGCAGCAUACCGGCGCCCUACUGACGCUGAGGCACGAAAGUGCGGGGAUCAAGCAGG